rnacentral:rRNA from 1 species
ACGCUCGACACCUACGGAGGCAGCAGUCGGGAAUAUUGCGCAAUGGAGGAAACUCUGACGCAGUGACGCCGCGUAUAGGAAGAAGGUUUUCGGAUUGUAAACUAUUGUCGUUAGGGAAGAAAAAGACAGUACCUAAGGAGGAAGCUCCGGCUAACUACGUGUCAGCAGCCGCGGUAAUCUGAGGCGGGCUGGCGAAGGC